AUGGUUGGGAAGGGAUUGGAAGCAAGUCUGGCUGACGGCGGCUCCCUGGCUCUGGACCACUGGGGAUGCCCGUGGGUCUAUCUGCUCUGGGGAAGAGCCGUGAGCAAGGGCAAACGUGCUGCUGGCCUGCUCAGACCUUCAGCAACCUGGGGCAGUCCUCGUCACGGUCUGGACUGUGAUGCCGAGUGUGAACUCAUCACAUCUCCCGGAGGACUUUGGAGAGACUCUCAACGGACAAGUGACAACGCCAAGAACCAACAACAGCAGAGGCGAUUUUCAUGUCACGACGCAAACAUGCAGCCUAGAUUCUGGAAACAGAUACUCACGAAGGAAGAAAUGUUAGUGAAGAUUGAAGAAGUACGACGCUGGACAAGAAGGCGCAUCCACGAGCAAAGAGAAAUGUAGAAUUCUAUGGCCGAAGGACUUGAAGACGAGUGCGAAGGUACAAGCCACAAGAUAAAAACAGUUAUUGGCACAGCAUUGCUGUGAAUCUGUAUGUACCUUAAAUGUGUUCAAAUACUUUGCAUUCUGCAAUAAAGUCUUUUAAGAAUUUUUAUUUAUUUAUUUUAGGAAGAGAGAGAGAAUGAGUGAGAGAUAGAGAGAGAGAGAGAGGGAGCAGUUGAGGGGGUGUUGUCAGAGGGAGAUAGAGAAUCGUAAGCAAAACAAAAAAAAAGAGAGAGAGAGAGAAUCAUAAGCAGACUCUGCACCCAGCACGGAGCCCCAUUUGGGGCUCGUUCUCACCGCCCUGAGAUCAUGACCUGAGCUGAAAUCAAGAGUCGGACGUCUAAUUGAGUGGACCUUGCAAACACCCCUACAAGAGUGUCUUAAAUUAUAUUAUUCAUUAUUCAUGUUUCAUUAUGUCCUUCGUUAGGACACAAUGUUCCUUAUUUUUUUGUGGUUUUACACGUGAUGGCAAGAUUGCCUUAGGGCCGAUUAGUUAUGUGAUGAAAAAUACAGCAAAAAUGUGUACAGCCAAGAUGCUUCUGGCAAAGCUACCUAGACCCAGAAGGUGGGUGGUGUGAGUACAGUGCUCAGGAAUGGGGGCUGGGGGUGCCGAGGAAAGUGACAGGGGCGCUUUACAAAGGACGUGGCCGUUGACUCUCCCACCUCCUUGCCAUCACUUCCCUCCCCUCUGCUUCUUUGCCACUGUCUUGCACACCAUCACCUUCUCCAAGCAGGGACAAAGUCAGUGUGCACAUCCAAGGUGGCGCCAGCAGUCAUGGGAUCAAAUGUGCCUCAACUGCUUCUCACCCAGAAGUGACUGAAACCUCAAAACCCAAUAGAGCCACAUCCCUGAAUAGGAGGGCCAAGGACGGGUACAUAAAGGCCGAUGCAGAGCCUCAUGACGUGUGACGGGAAGGCCAAUUAGCUUUGGAGGGUCAGGCCCCAGAGAGGAGGCAGGGGUGCAUGGUGGGCAAGAAUGUGGACAUCAAGGUCAGAUAGACUUUGGUUCUAAGCUGGCCUCAUCCACUGACUCCCUGUGUGGCCCUAGGCAAGCUUGGUGUUUGCUCUGAGCCUCAGUUUCCUCAUCUAUACCAUAGGAAUAAUAGUGUUAUUAGUUGCCUACGGCUGCAUAACCCUACCCCCCAAUUUAGCAGCUGAAAACCAUUUACAUUCAUUAUCUUGAGGUUUUUGUGCACCAGGAAGCCAGGCGAGGCUGAGCUGGGUCCUCCACUCGGGGUGUCUUACAGUCAGGUUGUCACCGGGCUGUGGUUUCAUCUGAAGGCUGUGCUGGGG
rnacentral:lncRNA from 1 species